AAAUUGAAGAGUUUGAUCAUGGCUCAGAUUGAACGCUGGCGGCAGGCCUAACACAUGCAAGUCGAACGGUAACAGGAAACAGCUUGCUGUUUCGCUGACGAGUGGCGGACGGGUGAGUAAUGUCUGGGAAACUGCCUGAUGGAGGGGGAUAACUACUGGAAACG
rnacentral:rRNA from 1 species